rnacentral:rRNA from 1 species
CCCUUAGAUGUUCUGGGCCGCACGCGCGCUACACUGAAUGGAUCAACGUGUUUUCCCUUCCCGAGAGGGACGGGUAACCCGCUGAACCCCAUUCGUGGUAGGGAUCGGAGCUUGCAAUUGUUCUCCGUGAACCAGGAAUUCCCAGUAAGCGCAAGUCAUAAGCUUGCGUUGAUUACGUCCCUGCCCUUUGUACACACCGCCCGUCGCUCCUACCGAUUGAAUGGUCCGGUGAAAAUUUCGGAUACCGGCAUUGCUGGCGGUUCGCCGCCGGCGACGCUGGUAGAAGAUCUUUAAACCUUAUCAUUUAGAGGAAGGAGAANUCGUAACA